AAGAAAUAUGACAUACAAAUAGAGACAAGCAAACACACCCUGAACUACUUGAGUGCAUUUGUGCCAAAAGGGUAAAUAGAUUGGAAACUAUUAUCUGCAACAACAUGAUGAUGGUUAACUGGACCUCCUGUUGACUGAAAACACAAUAGAAUUCAAACCUUCAUAAUCCUCUACAACAAAAGUAUGCAUGCUUCACUGCAAAUACAAACAAAUAACUUGAGACUUCUUCUAAAAAAUGCAUCUAAAACUCCUGCAAUUCUACAGGGAGAGGUAGCGAGAAAGAAACCUCUGUGAUCUAUAUUAGGAUUGUUUAAAAAAGCCUGCACCGGCCUACUCCGUGAUGUCCGAAGCAGUCAGACCCCAGUGUAUGGUCAGAGGCGGUUUGAUGCUGGGUUUGAUGGAGUAUGUCAGUCCAAUCAGCCCAGCUUCCAGAGUCUGAUUGGGUCUGCCAGCCAGAGAGGCAGCCCAGAUAUUAGCUCUACAGCCAGCUGACAGCCGGCAUAGAGAGCAGCUCAUACGACACACAACAGCAGAGCUGGCACACUGAAGGAGCCACACUUUGUCUGGAGCUCAGCAGAUUUAGAGGAAACAAUUACCAGUCCGGUGAUCUCUGCUUCUCCAGUCCCGCCGAUAAACACCCAGCGCCCUGAGUUUUUUUUUACAGUACAGGACACGAAACCAGUUCUCCAGCUGACAUUUGUGAAAGAGCAAACCAGACCAAUACAAAUGAUGAAUCUGGUAAUCAGGAGCAGUGUCACUCCAUUCUCCAAAUCUUGCUGAGGUGUAAUGAGUCUCUGAGGGCCACUUGUUUCUUACUCCCACUGAAAGAAGGACCAACGUCAUCAAUCUUCAGAGUGGCUGAAGUGAAGUUGACUUCUGUCUGAAGGUUCUCCCCUUUGUUGAUUUCUUCUUGGGAGCUCAGUGGAAAGCCCACGUUCCCGUCACACGCCGAGAAAGCGUGCACACGAGAGAGAGAGAGAGAGAGAGAGAGAGAGAGAGAGAGAGAGAGAGAGCAGGGUGUGGUUGCAUGCUGUGCCGACAAUGAACAGCAAACCUCCAACUGACACGGCCAGUAUUGAGUAAAACCACGCCGUGAAGCGAGGAUGCACUGCACACG
rnacentral:lncRNA from 15 species